UACAGAGGGGGCAAGCGUUGUUCGGAAUUACUGGGCGUAAAGGGCGCGUAGGCGGCCUGUUAAGUCGAACGUGAAAUCCCCGGGCUCAACCCGGGAACUGCGUCCGAUACUGGCAGGCUUGAAUCCGGGAGAGGGAUGCGGAAUUCCAGGUGUAGCGGUGAAAUGCGUAGAUAUCUGGAGGAACACCGGUGGCGAAGGCGGCAUCCUGGACCGGCAUUGACACUGAGGAACGAAAGCCAGGGGAGCAAACGGG
rnacentral:rRNA from 1 species